rnacentral:rRNA from 1 species
CCAGACUCCUACGGGAGGCAGCAGUGAGGAAUAUUUCACAAUGAGCGAAAGCUUGAUGGAGCAAUGCCGCGUGCAGGAUGAAGGCCCUCGGGUUGUAAACUGCUUUUAUAAGAGAAGAUUAUGACGGUAACUUAUGAAUAAGGGACGGCUAACUACGUGCCAGCAGCCGCGGUCAUACGUAGGUCCCGAGCGUUAUCCGGAGUGACUGGGCGUAAAGAGUUGCGUAGGCGGUCAAGUUAGCGAGCGAUGAAAACUAUCGGCUCAACCGAUAGCUUGUUGUUCGAACUGCUUGACUCGAGAGUAUCAGAGGUCGCUGGAAUUCCUAGUGUAGCAGUGAAAUGCGUAGAUAUUAGGAAGAACACCGAUGGCGUAGGCAGGCGACUGGGAUAUUUCUGACGCUAAGGCACGAAAGCGUGGGUAGCGAACCGGAUUAGAUACCCGGGUAGUCCACGCCGUAAACGAUGGAUGCUAAUUGUUUGAGGUAUCGACCCCUCGAGUAAUAAAGCUAACGCGUUAAGCAUCCCGCCUGUGGAGUACGGCCGCAAGGCUAAAACAUAAAGGAAUUGACGGGGCCCGCACAAG